rnacentral:rRNA from 1 species
AGAGUUUGAUCAUGGCUCAGGAUGAACGCUGGCGGCGUGCCUAACACAUGCAAGUCGAGCGAUCUUCUUCGGAAGAGAGCGGCGGACGGGUGAGUAACGCGUGGGUAACCUGCCUCAUACACAUGGAUAACAUACCGAAAGGUAUGCUAAUACAAGAUGAUAUAAGAGAUUCGCAUGGAUUUCUUAUCAAAGCUCCGGCGGUAUGAGAUGGACCCGCGUCUGAUUAGCUAGUUGGUAAGGUAACGGCUUACCAAGGCGACGAUCAGUAGCCGACCUGAGAGGGUGAUCGGCCACAUUGGAACUGAGACACGGUCCAAACUCCUACGGGAGGCAGCAGUGGGGAAUAUUGCACAAUGGGCGAAAGCCUGAUGCAGCAACGCCGCGUGAGCGAUGAAGGCCUUCGGGUCGUAAAGCUCUGUCCUCAAGGAAGAUAAUGACGGUACUUGAGGAGGAAGCCCCGGCUAACUACGUGCCAGCAGCCGCGGUAAUACGUAGGGGGCUAGCGUUACCCGGAUUUACUGGGCGUAAAGGGUGCGUAGGUGGUUUCUUAAGUCAGGAGUGAAAGGCUACGGCUCAACCGUAGUAAGCUCUUGAAACUGGGAAACUUGAGUGCAGGAGAGGAAAGUGGAAUUCCUAGUGUAGCGGUGAAAUGCGUAGAUAUUAGGAGGAACACCAGUAGCGAAGGCGGCUUUCUGGACUGUAACUGACACUGAGGCACGAAAGCGUGGGGAGCAAACAGGAUUAGAUACCCUGGUAGUCCACGCCGUAAACGAUGAGUACUAGGUGUCGGGGGUUACCCCCCUCGGUGCCGCAGCUAACGCAUUAAGUACUCCGCCUGGGGAGUACGCUCGCAAGAGUGAAACUCAAAGGAAUUGACGG